rnacentral:rRNA from 1 species
GACGAACGCUGGCGGCGUGCUUAACACAUGCAAGUCGAACGGAAAGGCCCUGCUUGCCGGGUACUCGAGUGGCGAACGGGUGAGUAACACGUGGGUGAUCUGCCCUGCACUUCGGGAUAAGCCUGGGAAACUGGGUCUAAUACCGGAUAGGAGCCAUUUUUAGUGUGAUGGUUGGAAAGUUUUUUCGGUGUAGGAUGAGCUCGCGGCCUAUCAGCUUGUUGGUGGGGUAAUGGCCUACCAAGGCGGCGACGGGUAGCCGGCCUGAGAGGGUGGACGGCCACAGUGGGACUGAGAGACGGCCCAGACUCCUACGGGAGGCAGCAGGGGGGAAUAUUGAACAAUGGGCGCAAGCCUGAUGCAGCGACGCCGCGUGGGGGAGGACGGCCUUCGGGUUGUAAACUCCUUUCGCUAGGGACGAAGCUUUUUGUGACGGUACCUAGAGAAGAAGCACCGGCUAACUACGUG